rnacentral:rRNA from 1 species
AUCAUGGCUCAGAUUGAACGCUGGCGGCAUGCCUUACACAUGCAAAGGUCGAACGGCAGCACGGGGAGCUUGCUCCUGGUGGCGAGUGGCGAACGGGUGAGUAAUACAUCGGAACGUACCCUGAAGUGGGGGAUAACGUAGCGAAAGUUACGCUAAUACCGCAUAUUCUGUGAGCAGGAAAGAGGGGGAUCGCAAGACCUCUUGCUUUAGGAGCGGCCGAUGUCGGAUUAGCUAGUUGGUGAGGUAAAGGCUCACCAAGGCGACGAUCCGUAGCGGGUCUGAGAGGAUGAUCCGCCACACUGGGACUGAGACACGGCCCAGACUCCUACGGGAGGCAGCAGUGGGGAAUUUUGGACAAUGGGCGCAAGCCUGAUCCAGCCAUGCCGCGUGAGUGAAGAAGGCCUUCGGGUUGUAAAGCUCUUUCGGUGGGGAAGAAAUUGCUUCGGUUAAUACCUGGAGUAGAUGACGGUACCCGCAUAAGAAGCACCGGCUAACUACGUG